rnacentral:rRNA from 1 species
AUACGAAUGGUGCAAGCGUUGUUCGGAAUCACUGGGCAUAAAGAGCACGUAGGCGGUGGUGUAAGUCAGAUGUGAAAUCCCUCGGCUCAACCGAGGAACUGCAUCUGAAACUGCACCGCUAGAGUGCGGGAGGGGAGAGCGGAAUUCCAGGUGGAGCGGUGAAAUGCUUAGAUAUCUGGAGGAACGCCGGAGGCGAAAGCGGCUCUCUGGCCCGCCACUGACGCUGAGGUGCGAAAGCUAGGGGAGCAAACAGGAUUAGAAACCCCGGUAGUCC